rnacentral:rRNA from 1 species
UACGGAGGGGGCUAGCGUUGUUCGGAAUUACUGGGCGUAAAGCGCACGUAGGCGGACUACUAAGUCAGGGGUGAAAUCCCGGGGCUCAACCCCGGAACUGCCUUUGAUACUGGUAGUCUCGAGUCCGGAAGAGGUGAGUGGAAUUCCGAGUGUAGAGGUGAAAUUCGUAGAUAUUCGGAGGAACACCAGUGGCGAAGGCGGCUCACUGGUCCGGUACUGACGCUGAGGUGCGAAAGCGUGGGGAGCAAACAGG